ACGGGUGCGUAACGCGUGGGAAUCUGCCCUUGGGUUCGGAAUAACAGCUAGAAAUGGCUGCUAAUACCGGAUGAUGACGUAAGUCCAAAGAUUUAUCGCCCAAGGAUGAGCCCGCGUAGGAUUAGCUAGUUGGUGAGGUAAAGGCUCACCAAGGCGACGAUCCUUAGCUGGUCUGAGAGGAUGAUCAGCCACACUGGGACUGAGACACGGCCCAGACUCCUACGGGAGGCAGCAGUGGGGAAUAUUGGACAAUGGGCGCAAGCCUGAUCCAGCAAUGCCGCGUGAGUGAUGAAGGCCUUAGGGUUGUAAAGCUCUUUUACCCGGGAUGAUAAUGACAGUACCGGGAGAAUAAGCUCCGGCUAACUCCGUGCCAGCAGCCGCGGUAAUACGGAGGGAGCUAGCGUUAUUCGGAAUUACUGGGCGUAAAGCGCACGUAGGCGGCUUUGUAAGUUAGAGGUGAAAGCCUGGAGCUCAACUCCAGAAUUGCCUUUAAGACUGCAUCGCUUGAAUCCAGGAGAGGUGAGUGGAAUUCCGAGUGUAGAGGUGAAAUUCGUAGA
rnacentral:rRNA from 1 species